UGAACAGACCCAGGGGCAGGGGGUGCCUUGAGUAUCUCAGGGGCUCCCCUCUUAGUCGCCGCCCCCUGGAGAAGCCUGGCUCUGAGGCAGAUCUCGUGAGCCCGGAAAGAAUCCUCUGCUUCACCCCCACACCCUCCCGUCCAAGACAGCACUUGGCAGCCAGGACUCUUCCAUAGCAACUGUAUGUGGGCAUCCUACAGAGGCUCGCGCAAUGUUAAAACAUAUGAUGGCACAUGACUGAUGUCUGGCGCUUGGGAAGCAGAGGCAAGAAGAUCUCAAGGGAAGGGCCAGCCUGGGCUACACAUUAAGAGUCUCUUCUGCCCACUCCCUUCCAUCUCUUUCCCCAUGACCCUUCCAAAGUGUAAGAAAACAUUUACCUUGUG